rnacentral:rRNA from 1 species
AGAGAUUAAACCUCGUACCUUUUGCAUCAUGAUUUAGCUAGUGAACCUCAAGCGAAGAGCGCUUUAGUUUGAUAACCCGAAACUAGUAUGAGCUACUUCAAGACAGCCUAUAAGGGCGAACCCGUCUCUGUGGCAAAAGAGUGGGAAGAACUUUAAGUAGAGGUGACAGACCUACCGAAUCUAGUUAUAGCUGGUUGCCUGAGAAAUGGAUAGCAGUUCAGCCUCGCAAAUUCUUGAUAAUUUACGAGAGUUAGUCAAAGGAGGUACAGCCCCUUUGAAACAGGACACAACCUCUCCAGUAGGGUAAAGAUCAAAGUUAAUUAAGGAAAAUUAUUUCAGUGGGCCUAAAAGCAGCCACCCCCUUAGAAAGCGUUAAAGCUCAAAUUCUCUAUACCGACUAACAAAUCUCAACCCCCUAAUUUUACCAGGCCAUCCCAUGCACCCAUGGGAAUGAUACUGCUAAUAUGAGUAAUAAGAGAGGCCUCUCUCCUUGCACACGUGUAAAUCGGAAUGGACCUACCACCGAGAAUUAACGUCCCCAAACAAAGAGGGCAUUGUUCAUCAACUAGAAGACCCCACCCCGUUAACCCCACACAGGUGUGCCCAUAAGGAAAGACUAAGAGAAAGAGAAGGAACUCGGCAAACAAGCCUCGCCUGUUUACCAAAAACAUCACCUCUUGAAAAUAUAAGAGGCCCCGCCUGCCCAGUGACUCAGUGUUCAACGGCCGCGGUAUUUUGACCGUGCGAAGGUAGCGCAAUAACUUGUCCUUUAAUUGGGGACUAGUAUGAAUGGCAUCACGAGGGCUUAGCUGUCUCCUUUUUUAAGUCAAUGAAAUUGAUCUUCCCGUGCAAAAGCGGGAAUUUAAACAUAAGACGAGAAGACCCUAUGGAGCUUUAGACACCAAGACAGACCACGUUAAUUGUAGCCCCAUACGGCCCCGAACUAAAAGGUACCUGCUCUGAUGUCUUUGGUUGGGGCGACCGCGGAGAAGAAAAAAACCUCCCCUCCGCGCGGAAUGGGAGCACUCCUACAACCAAGAGCCACAGCUCGAACUAACAGAAAUCUCUGACCUUCAUGAUCCGGCUAAACGCCGAUCAUCGAACCGAGUUACCCUAGGGAUAACAGCGCAAUCCCCUUUCAGAGCCCAUAUCGACAAGGGGGUUUACGACCUCGAUGUUGGAUCAGGACAUCCUAAUGGUGCAG